rnacentral:rRNA from 1 species
UGGGGAAUAUUGCACAAUGGGGGAAACCCUGAUGCAGCGACGCCGCGUGAGCGAAGAAGGUUUUCGAAUCGUAAAGCUCUGUCCUAUGGGAAGAUAAUGACGGUACCAUAGGAGGAAGCCCCGGCUAACUACGUGCCAGCAGCCGCGGUAAAACGUAGGGGGCAAGCGUUGUCCGGAAUCACUGGGCGUAAAGGGUUCGCAGGCGGAAAUGCAAGUCAGUUGUGAAAGGCAGAGGCUCAACCUCUGUAAGCAAUUGAAACUGUAUUUCUUGAGAUGUGGAGAGGCAAGUGGAAUUCCUAGUGUAGCGGUGAAAUGCGUAGAUAUUAGGAAGAAUACCGGUGGCGAAGGCGACUUGCUGGACACAAACUGACGCUGAGGAACGAAAGCGUGGGUAGCAAACAGG